rnacentral:tRNA from 1 species
CAAAAUAGAGUUUGGUAAAAACAUUUCAUUUACACUGAAAAACUUUCUUUAUAAGAUAUUUUGA